UACGGAGGGUCCGAGCGUUAAUCGGAAUUACUGGGCGUAAAGCGUGCGCAGGCGGUUUUGUAAGCCGGAUGUGAAAGCCCCGGGCUUAACCUGGGAAUGGCAUUUGGGACUGCAAGGCUGGAGUACGGCAGAGGGAGGUGGAAUUCCAGGUGUAGCAGUGAAAUGCGUAGAUAUCUGGAGGAACACCGAAGGCGAAGGCAGCCUCCUGGGCUAGUACUGACGCUCAUGCACGAAAGCGUGGGGAGCAAACAGG
rnacentral:rRNA from 1 species